rnacentral:rRNA from 1 species
UACGGAGGGUGCGAACGUUAAUCGGAAUCACUGGGCGUAAAGCGCGCGUAGGCGGUUCGUUAAGUGGGAUGUGAAAUCCCCGGGCUUAACCUGGGAAUUGCAUUUCAAACUGGCCGACUAGAGUACGGUAGAGGGAGGUAGAAUUUCCUGUGUAGCGGUGAAAUGCGUAGAUAUAGGAAGGAAUACCAGUGGCGAAGGCGGCCUCCUGGAUCGAUACUGACGCUGAGGCGCGAAAGCGUGGGAGCAACAGG